UUGUAUUGUAUGGUAUUGCAUUGCAUUGAAUUUCAUUGCAUUGACAAAAUUGAGAGAAAAUUCUGAUUGAAUGUAUAACAGCCAUUAGCAAAAACAUAUGUAUUUUUAGAUUGUGGCGAGCCUUUUGAACGCAAUGUUUCCAACAGCACGUGAAUGCAGCAUCUAGCCGCUCCGCUCUGAGCCAUAGGAGCGGGCAGAGCCUCACACGAGGCAGGGACCCUCAGUACGGGGACGGAGAGAGACGGAGAAGUGCGGAGCACUUGUUUCCUGCCAAGAUGCCUCACUUGACCUUCGACCUGUGACUGAUCUGCCUUUUCUGUUGUUUUUUUUAAAUACCUGUGGAUAUAUCCUAACACUGAAGUCUACACAGAAAUGGAAAUCCACCCCAACCCUUUUUUAAAGCCAAUGAUAAAAGAUGGUCUCUGUCAUUGAGGUUGUCUCGUCCUCCUUUUGUCUGUCCUCAGUCCAGCCUUUGUUGACCUGACACUACAGAGAAUACUCACCAAGAAGUGAUAUGGCCAAGGCACAGCACGUGAAUCUGCUUGGACCCCACUGGGGAAUGGGUGGCAUCUUCUCCUUGAAGGAAAGUUGAUGGACACACAAUCUUUCUGUGUUUUAAAUUCAUGCACCAGAACUGGAAACCCCACUGGAAGGGGACUGAAGUACUCUGACAAAGUAUUCCUCUUAAUUCUCUAUACGGAUAUUUAUCUGUGGAAGCAACGAAGGAGUCACUUAUGGGAAAAUGGAGGGAGGAGCAGAGGCGAGUCCACAGCAGCACCAGAGGAGGAAAGCAGUGCUGCAUGGCUUGGAGGACCAGAAAAAGCUGCUGAGGCCAGACUGUGGUCUCCUGCCUGGAAUCAUGAAGCCAGAAACAGACAUUUGAUCACCAGCACCUGGAUCUUCUCAUUCAUCUCCAGAACACAUUGAGAACUGGGAGAUCAAAGAAGAGUGAGGACUUCAAAGAGAAAGUAUUCCUACUUGUGAGGGAAUUUUUGCCGCUGCUAUAGUCAAAUCCUGACCAGGAAUAGCAAGAUGAGAGAGUGAUGAAGACUCAGCGUUUCACUACCAAUCUACCGUGAUGGCUGACUUGAAUGUCAGUGGAUAUGAGGAGAUGAUAGCAAGCUAACAGCUAAUUGGUCUAAUUAACUUUUAACAGAAUUCUACUUUUACUGGUGAGAACAAACCAUUGAAGAGAUGAAUGAACUCAGCGGACUGCUGACUAGAAUGUUGUUUAUUUUCUCUGGUCAUUGUUAAUUCAUCCUGUUCUCCUAAAUGUUCUCCUCGACUCAUGAAUGCACAUCAAUUAAAAAAGGAUGAAAGAUAAACUUUUCUAACAAGGUUAGGAUCAAAUAGAAUCAAACUGUUGAUGCGGUUGUUCCUCACUGUGUGGAUGCUGAUUACCCCAAGGCUUUAGUUAGGCUCUGCAGAAGGAGUAAAUAUGGCCUGGAGAAGUGCAGAUGGAAUUGUCUUUAAUGACAACAGAUCCUAACAGCAUCACUGGAAUUGAAUUACGUGUAAUCCCACAGUUAAUGCCUGUAUGCGUUACCCUCUGUCAGAGCCAAUCUGUGCAAUUAAAGGAAAUCAGAAAUGAUGUGAUUUCUCAGUGGAUUUGCGCUCUGACUGAAAAAGGCGUGGAGUCUCAGGUGCAGCUGUGACGAUAAUCAGGCCAGAGGACCAGAGUUGAGGGGAUUCUUCAGAUAAAUCAAAACUGACUGCAGAUUGUGUAUCUGAUCUGAAAAGAUCAGCUACACAACACACAGGUUUUUUGUGUAUUUGUGAUUGUAAUCUUGAUUAGAAUAGAAAAUAUCUCUCUUUCUUACCAAACCGAGAACCACAGCCCUUAACUUGGUUCUCUAUCUCAUUUAUGACUUUCUGUUGUCUUUGCCAAUAAAUCACAAUUAAAAACUAAAGCUAAAGUAAAUGUAUCUUUUCACAAAUG